rnacentral:rRNA from 1 species
AGAGUUUGAUCCUGGCUCAGGAUGAACGCUGGCGGCGUGCCUAACACAUGCAAGUCGAGCGAUCUUCUUCGGAAGAGAGCGGCGGACGGGUGAGUAACGCGUGGGUAACCUGCCUCAUACACAUGGAUAACAUACCGAAAGGUAUGCUAAUACAAGAUGAUAUAAGAGAUUCGCAUGGAUUUCUUAUCAAAGCUCCGGCGGUAUGAGAUGGACCCGCGUCUGAUUAGCUAGUUGGUAAGGUAACGGCUUACCAAGGCGACGAUCAGUAGCCGACCUGAGAGGGUGAUCGGCCACAUUGGAACUGAGACACGGUCCAAACUCCUACGGGAGGCAGCAGUGGGGAAUAUUGCACAAUGGGCGAAAGCCUGAUGCAGCAACGCCGCGUGAGCGAUGAAGGCCUUCGGGUCGUAAAGCUCUGUCCUCAAGGAAGAUAAUGACGGUACUUGAGGAGGAAGCCCCGGCUAACUACGUGCCAGCAGCCGCGGUAAUACGUAGGGGGCUAGCGUUAUCCGGAUUUACUGGGCGUAAAGGGUGCGUAGGUGGUUUCUUAAGUCAGGAGUGAAAGGCUACGGCUCAACCGUAGUAAGCUCUUGAAACUGGGAAACUUGAGUGCAGGAGAGGAAAGUGGAAUUCCUAGUGUAGCGGUGAAAUGCGUAGAUAUUAGGAGGAACACCAGUAGCGAAGGCGGCUUUCUGGACUGUAACUGACACUGAGGCACGAAAGCGUGGGGAGCAAACAGGAUUAGAUACCCUGGUAGUCCACGCCGUAAACGAUGAGUACUACGUGUCGGGGGUUACCCCCCUCGGUGCCGCAGCUAACGCAUUAAGUACUCCGCCUGGGGAGUACGCUCGCAAGAGUGAAACUCAAAGGAAUUGACGG